rnacentral:rRNA from 1 species
GCUUGACUGUAUCUUGGAAUUGGGUUCGGGCUUUUCUUGCGCAGACUAGGUGGGAGGCUAUGAAGAUUUUCUUCUGGGAAAGUUGGAGCCAACAGUGAGAGACCACUCUGGAAAGGCUAGAAUCCUAAUGGUGAUCCUUGAAUCAGGACACUUGACAGUUUCAGGUGGGCAGUUUUUCUGGGGCGGAAGCCUCAUAAAAGGUAACUGAGGCGCGCAAAGGUCCCCUCAGUCUGGACGGAAAUCAGACAUUGAGUGUAAGGCAAAAGGGGGCUUGACUGCAAGACCCACAAGUCGAGCAGGGGCGAAAGCUGGCCUUAGUGAUCCGACGGUGCCGUGUGGAAGGGCCGUCGCUCAACGAAUAAAAGUUA